CUGAGUGGUGAAAAACAGGAGCAGAUCCUGAUUGGCCUGAAAAAGAGCUUGUAAAAGGCCUGCCUGUACUUGUAGAAUCUGGAA